rnacentral:rRNA from 1 species
GACGAACGCUGGCGGCGUGCUUAACACAUGCAAGUCGAACGAAGUGGCGAACGGGUGAGUAACGCGUAAUCAACCUGCCCUUCAGAGGGGGACAACAGUUGGAAACGACUGCUAAUACCGCAUACUGAAGGAGGGGAUUGCGUCGGAUUGGCUAGUUGGAGGGGUAACGGCCUACCAAGGCGAUGAUCAGUAGCCGGUUUGGGAGGGUGAACCGCCAAAUUGGGACUGUGAAAAGGCCCAGAAUCCUACGGGAGGCAGCAGUGGGGAAUCUUCCGCCAUGGACGAAAGUCUGACGGAGCAAAGCCGCGUGAGUGAUGACGGCCUUCGGGUUGUAAAGCUCUGUUAAUCGGGACGCGGUACCGGAAUAGAAAGCCACGGCUAACUACGUGCCAGCAGCCGCGGUAAUUC